rnacentral:lncRNA from 1 species
CGAAGAAGCUCCUGCCCCUGCCUUCAAAUCAGCACAGCUCUGGCCGUUUUGGACAAUUGGGGAGUGAACUCAUGUGAACUCUUUGACAUCUAUACUCCAAAAAUGGUUUUGGAGGUUGCUUUUGCACUUGUGAUUUUAUUUUCAUUUGUACAAUUGAUGUUUUUGUUUGCAAUAAAACAUAGAAAACACCUGGUAUUUUUAUUGGUUAUUCUAUUUCAUGUCCUUCAGCACCCAGUUUAAAGUUGUGGCCCCUGGUACCCUACAUCACCUGCAUUUCUAGCCUUAGACCCACAAAGCUCCCUAUUGAUCUGUCCAAGUCUUUUGUCUUGUGUUUUUCUGAAUGAUUCAACAACGUUUCAGUUGAUAACUGCCCAAACUGGGCAGGUUUGCCGGCAUGUUCUAGAAUCUUUCAUUGACUUCCUUCCCAAAGAGACUUAGAAUUGCAGCUCAAGUAAUUACAUUCCUACCUGAAAAGAGAUGCAGCCUUUGAUCCUGACCCAGGGGAAAAACCAGUUGAUGGGAGAUUCUAUUGCUCUCUCUCCAAAUAAAUUCACAAAGAAUUUGUUAAAAGUAGAAAAAAGGGGCUGGUGCCAUGGCUCACUUGGUUAAUCCCCCGCCUGUUGUGCUGGCAUCCCAUAUGGCCAUCGGGUUCUAGUCCCGGCUGCUCCUCGUCCAGUCCAGUUCUCUGCUGUGGCCCAGGAGGGCAGUGGAGGAAGGCCCAAACUGCUUGCGCCCCUGCACCUGCAUGUGAGUACAGGAGGAAGCACCUGGCACCUGGGAGUGAACCAAUGGAAGGAACACCUUUCUCUGUCUCACUCUCUCACUGUCUAACUCUAUCAGUCAUAAAAAAAAAAAAAAAAAAAAAAAAAAAAAGUAAAAUCAACCAGGGCUCUCCUCACCUGCAGCCCCUCUAUUCUCUCCCUACACUCUGCCCCUAUACUAUGCUAAAAUCUUGUGAAAAAGAAAAAAGAAAAAUCUUAGACUAAUAAAUUCAGCUUUCACUUUUACAAUCACAAACAAGACAGAACCAAUCAGAACCAAACAAAAUGAUUCUUGAAUCUGGAUGUCCACAGAAGUGAAGCAGCUUCACAAAACUUCCACCAAAACGUGUUCCGGCAGCACUUACAGGAAACUCACAUGUGGGUUAAAGACAGCAUCGCUGCUAACAGCUUAACUGGCUAACUGGGUCCAAGCCUCCUGCAGUUAACGAAGGCGCAGCCACUGCAGCUCAGCUCCCCAUGGGCUUGCAGUGUCUGAGUCCACAUCAAUGGCCUCCUGCCAAUUUCCUCUCACGCCUGCCCGGGCCGGGAGUCCUCCGCACUGACUAGGGGGCCCAUGUUCAGAGGCACUGAUGGUCUCCAAGCUUCAGUCUGAGCCUCGGUCUAGCAGCAGGUUCUGCACAUUCUGAGCAGCAGGGCAGUCCCCGGCCUCCUGGCUCGGCUCUGGC